rnacentral:rRNA from 1 species
AUUGAACGCUGGCGGCAGGCCUAACACAUGCAAGUCGAGCGGUAGCACAAGAGAGCUUGCCCUCUGGGUUACGCGCGGCGGACGUGUGUGACAUGUCUGGGAAACUGCUUGAUGGAGGGGGAUAACUACUGGAAACGGUAGUUAAUACCGCUUAACGUUGCAAGACCAAAGGUGGGGAGCUACGGGCCUCUUUGCAUCAGAUUAUCCCAGUUGGGAUUAGCUAGUAGGUGGGGUAAUGGCUCACCUAUGCGAAGAACCCUAGCUCGUCUCGGAGGAUGACUCGCCCAACUGGAACUGGAGCACGGUCCCGGCUCCCAAGGGAGGGAGCAGUGGGGAAUAUUGCAGAAUGGGCGCAAGCCUGAUGCAGCCAUGCCGGGUGUGUGAAGAAGGCCUUCGGGCUGUAAAGCACUUUCAGCGAGGAGGAAGGUGGUGAACUUAAUACGUUCAUCAAUUGACGUUACUCGCAGAAGAAGCACCGGCUAACUCCGUG